rnacentral:rRNA from 1 species
UACGUAGGUGACAAGCGUUGUCCGGAUUUACUGGGCGUAAAGGGCGUGUAGGUGGUUUCGUAAGUCUGGCGUGAAAUUUCUCGGCUUAACCGAGGCAGGUCGUCGGAUACUGCGGAACUUGAGGACGGUAGAGGCGUGUGGAAUUCCGGGUGUAGUGGUGAAAUGCGUAGAGAUCCGGAGGAACACCAGUGGCGAAGGCGACACGCUGGGCCGUACCUGACACUGAUGCGCGACAGCAUGGGGAGCAAACAGG